CCUACGGGGGGCAGCAGUAGGGAAUCUUCCACAAUGGACGAAAGUCUAAUGGAGCAACGCCGCGUGAGUGAAGAAGGGUUUCGGCUCGUAAAGCCCUGUUGGUAGUGAAGAAAGAUAGAGGUAGUAACUGGCCUUUAUUUGACGGGAAUUACUUAGAAAGUCACGGCUAACUACGUGCCAGCAGCCGCGGUAAUACGUAGGUGGCAAGCGUUGUCCGGUUUUAUUGGGCGUAAAGGCAGUGCAGGCGGUGCAAUAAGGCUGAUGUGAAUGCCUUCGGCUCAACCGGAGAAUUGCAUCAGAAACUGUUGAACUUGAGUGCAGAAGAGGAGAGUGGAACUCCAUGUGUAGCGGUGGAAUGCGUAGAUAUAUGGAAGAACACCAGUGGCGAAGGCGGCUCUCUGGUCUGCAACUGACGCUGAGGCUCGAAAGCAUGGGUAGCGAACAGGAUUAGAUACCCUUGUAGUC
rnacentral:rRNA from 1 species